rnacentral:tRNA from 1 species
GGAUUGUGGCUCAGAGGUAGAGCACUCUCCUGGCAUGCAUGAGGCACUUAGUUCGAUUCUCAGCACCA